AGGGAAGCGGCCCGCCCUUCGUCCUGCCCCUUCGCCCUACUCUGUCACCUCGCUGGAAGGAGUGGAACCCAGACUUGCUGGUCUGAUCCAUGCACAAGGCGCGGCUACGAGGCCACUGUGCCCGGGCAGGGAAGUCGGUGCGGUUGGCCAGCUCCGGGAUGACCCGCCGGGACCCGCUCACAAAUAAGGUGGCCCUGGUAACGGCCUCCACCGACUGCUUACAGAGUCAAGUCCCUGGGAACUUCAGGAAGCAGCCCACCAUGUUUCAACCACUUACUAUGUGCCAUUUCCUGUGUUCAGAGCCUUACACAGGUUAUCUCUAGACCUGACAACAACCCAAGCAAGGCAAGGACUAUUCUCUCGGUCUGCAGACGCUGGCUCAGAUAGCUGGAGCAACUUCCCAAGGUCCCACAGCCAGUAAGGAAAGACCCAGACCUCCCAAGCUCCCUUCCUUUAUUGGCUGCCUGUGGACUACCAGGGCUUCAGUCCUUACAAUGUCAGUAAAACAGCCUUGCUGGGCCUCAACAAGACCUUGGCCAUAGAGCUGGCCCCAAGGAACAUUAGGGUGAACUGCCUAGCACCUGGACUUAUCAAGACUAGCUUCAGCAGGAUGCUCUGGAUGGACAAGGAAAAAGAGGAAAGCAUGAAAGAAACCCUGCGGAUAAGAAGGUUAGGCGAGCCAGAGGAUUCUCUUGGCAUCGUGUCUUUCCUGUGCUCUGAAGAUGCCAGCUACCUCACUGGGGAAACAGUGAUGGUGGGUGGAGGAACCCCGUCCCGCCUCUGAGGACCCGGAGACAGCCCACAGGCCAGAGUUGGGCUCUAGCUCCUGGUGCUGUUCCUGCAUUCACCCACUGGCCUUUCCCACCUCUGCUCACCUUACUGUUCACCUCAUCAAAUCAGUUCUGCCCUGUGAAAAGAUCCAGCCUUCCCUGCCGUCAAGGUGGUGUCUUACUCGGGAUUCCUGCUGUUGUUGUGGCCUUGGGUAAAGGCCUCCCCUGAGAACACAGGACAGGCCUGCUGACAAGGCUGAGUCUACCUUGGCAAAGACCAAGAUAUUUUUUGCCCAGGCCACUGGGGAAUUUGAGGGGAGAUGAGAGAGAAGGAAGCUGGAGUGGAAGGAGCAGAGUUGCAAAUUAACAACUUGCAAAUGAGGUGCAAAUAAAAUGCAGAUGAUUGCGCGGCUUUGAAUCGAA
rnacentral:lncRNA from 1 species